rnacentral:rRNA from 1 species
GGGGGGGGGGGGGGGGGGGGGUGGCGGGUGGGGGGCGGGCGGGGGGGCCGGGGUGGGGUGGGGGGGGCGGGGGGCGAACGGGUGAGUCGCCGGUGGGUAGCCGGCCCUUGCCUUUGGGGUCGCUUCGGGCCGCUGGGGCUCAUGCGGGAUAGGAGCUCCUGCUGCAGGGUUGGGGUGGGCACUUUUCGGCGGCUUGGGCUGGACUCUCGGCUUAUCGGCUUGUUGGUGGGGUAGCGGCUUACCACGGCUUUCACGGGUAGCCGGCCUGAGCGGGUGCGCGGGCACAUGGGGACUGAGAUACGGACCAGACUCCUACGGGCGGCAGCAGUGGAGAAUAUUGCACAAUGGGCGGAAGCCUGAUGUAGCAACGCCGCGUGCGGGAUGACGGCCUUCGGGUUGUAAACCGCUUUCGCCUGUGACGAAGCGGGAGUGACGGUAAUGGGUAAAGAAGCACCGGCUAACUACGUG